GGGUGAGGAACACGUAAGAACCUACCCUUUGGACGAGAAUAACUUUCGGAAACGAUCGCUAAUACUCGAUAUAUUGAUUGAAUCAAAAAAAUUUUUUAUGCCAAAGGACGGGCUUGCGUCUGAUUAGCUGGUUGGUGAGAUAAUAGCUUACCAAGGCAACGAUCAGUAGCUGGUCUGAGAGGAUGAUCAGCCACAUUGGGACUGAGACACGGCCCAGACCUCUACGGAGGGCAGCAGUGAGGAAUUUUCCGCAAUGGGCGAAAGCCUGACGGAGCAAUGCCGCGUGGAGGAUGACGGCUCUUGGGUUGUAAACUCCUUUUCUCAAAGAAGAAAAAAAUGACGGUAUUUGAGGAAUAAGCAUCGGCUAACUUCGUGCCAGCAGCCGCGGUAAGACGGGGGAUGCAAGCGUUAUCCGGAAUUAUUGGGCGUAAAGCGUCCGAAGGUGGUUUUUGAAGUCGACUGUUAAAGCUCAAAGCUCAACUUUGAAUAUGCAGUCUUUGAUACUCAAUAACUAGAGUUUGAUAGGGGUAGAGGGAAUUCUCG
rnacentral:rRNA from 1 species